GUUUUUGCUCUUCCUCCUCAUCUUUCAUCUUUUCCCAAAUCAAACGCACCCCAUACCUAAUGGAACACACAAAAUACUUCCUCCCAAAUCUAUCAGAAAAAGUGAAGUACUCAUUCGAUUGGAUUUUUAACGAAACCCCUUACUCCUGUUAUUGCUUUAUCUCCGUCUAAAGAGGAAUACAACAGUAUCGAUUUAAUCGCAGGAGGAAAAAGCAAGAGAACCAAAAGGACAACACCAAAAUCCAAUGAUAUCUACUUGAAACUUCUUGUCAAGGUUUUGUAAGUGAGCGCGAGACGAAGGGAUCUCUGCUUAUUGCAACGUGGAGGGUUAAACCAACAAAGAACGAGAGUAAUUGAACUUAUCCUGCAUCCGAAUCUUUGUAAGAUGAUAGAACAUAGAAAGUUUCCCGCUUGUGUAUUCGUCGUCUUGAGAGCUUGCUGAAUAUUACCUUAUCCAAUUUUUGUAUUUUCAUGGCGGCAUGUAUUUGAUAGCGUACCACAUGACUGACUAUCAAAAUCAAUGUUCUUCAUCAACACUUUGGUGGUGUUUGUCUUGGUGGUUGCCAAAUUCCCGAACAUUCUAAAAGUCCGCAUCUUUGGAAUAAAUGCAGAACAGUGAGAGAUGGAGCAUGCUGUAUAAGCAAGUUGUUUGGUGAUCUUAGUGCUCAUCCCAUCAUCGUAGAUGACAACUGAAUAAGAAGGUUACAUGAAGAACAUUGAAUUAUGAUGGGAUUCAUCUUAGCAUCAAGUCCCUACGGAGAGAUUUCGACCUUUGGAAUAAUUUUCCAUAUCAGAACUUUGCAACUUUUUUAGUGCAUAACAGUACAGAGGGAAAUAAGGUAGUUGAUGACCGAGCCGGUUUAUACUUGACAUCUGAUUAUGGAUCCUCUCUAUCUAUUUUGCUGAGGACCAAGGACUGCAAUGGUUCAUCUUUGAUGAUGCCUCUGAGUUACUUUUUGUCUGGU